rnacentral:rRNA from 1 species
GAUUUCUGGUACGGUUCGCCUGGUCCGCCGCCGUUUCAGGCGCGUGAGUACCGGCGCGGGCCUGCCAUCCUUCCGGGGCGCGCGCCUACCCUUCGCUGGGCCGGGCGCGCCACCCGGAUCGUUUACUUUGAAAAAAUUAGAGUGUUUCAAGCAGGCGUCGCCGCUCUGAAUACAUUAGCAUGGAAUAAUGGGAUAGGACUUGGGUUCUAUUUUGUUGGUUUCUGGGACCGAAGUAAUGAUUGAUAGGGACAGUUGGGGGUGCUGGUAUUCAGCGGCCAGAGGUGAAAUUCUUGGAUUCGCUGAAGACCAACUUAUGCGAAAGCAUU